UUGCUCUUCAACGAGGAAUACCUAGUAAGCGUGAGUCAUCAGCUCGCGUUGAUUACGUCCCUGCCCUUUGUACACACCGCCCGUCGCUACUACCGAUUGAAUGGCUUAGUGAGGUCUUGAGAUUGGCGACAGGGAGCCGGCAACGGCACCCUGUUGCUGAGAACUUGAUCAAACUUGGUCAUUUAGAGGAAGUAAAAGUCGUAACAAGGUUUCCGUAGGUGAACCUGCGGAAGGAUCAUUAUCGAGUUUUGAACGGGUUGUAGCUGGCCUUUAACGAGGCAUGUGCACACCUGGCUCAUCCACUCUCAACCUCUGUGCACUUUAUGUAAGAAACGGUGUAAGCCAGCUAUUUAAUAGUUGGUAACAAGCCUUUCUUAUGUUUACUACAAACGCUUCAGUUAUAGAAUGUUUACUGUGUAUAACACAAUUAUAUACAACUUUCAGCAACGGAUCUCUUGGCUCUCGCAUCGAUGAAGAACGCAGCGAAAUGCGAUAAGUAAUGUGAAUUGCAGAAUUCAGUGAAUCAUCGAAUCUUUGAACGCACCUUGCACUCCUUGGUAUUCCGAGGAGUAUGCCUGUUUGAGUCUCAUGGAAUUCUCAACCCCUAAAUUUUGUAAUGAAGUUUAGUGGGCUUGGACUUGGAGGUUGUGUCGGCUUCUAGUCGACUCCUCUGAAAUGCAUUAGCGUGAAUCUUACGGAUCGCCUUCAGUGUGAUAAUUAUCUGCGCUGUGGUGUUGAAGUAUUUAUUAGUUCAUGCUUAUAGUCGUCUCUUACCGAGACAAUUUAUGACAAUCUGAGCUCAAAUCAGGUAGGACUACCCGCUGAACUUAAGCAUAUCAAUAAGCGGAGGA
rnacentral:rRNA from 1 species